rnacentral:lncRNA from 1 species
UACAAUCUCUUUUCUCACAUUUCAAACCUCUCUCUCUCUCUCUGGUCUUUAAUCUCUUGCAGAUAUUAAAGAAAGAAAGAAAAGAAAAGAAGACGUGGCUAAGAAGAAGUCCAAGAAAAGUUUCAAACUUGGGUGGGGAAGUGCAUGCCUGUCAUCAGUCAUGCAUGCAUUAUCCUUCUUCUUCUGCAGAAAAUCUACUGGUGGGGCCGCCUGAAUCAAACCUUUUACUACCCAGAUUUGGAUUUGCCCAAUUUUACCCAAAUCUAUCUGCUUGCUUUUUGGCUCACCCAACAUUUUUCGUUUUGAAUUCUGAAAAAAAAAAGAACAAAAGAGCCGUGGCGUGACUGACAAUUGAGUCAAAGUCAAGAAACUUAUGAACUGACCAAUGGGGG